AGAGUUUGAUCCUGGCUCAGGACAACGCUGGCGGCGUGCUUAACACAUGCAAGUCGAACGGUGAAGCAGAGCUUGCUCUGUGGAUCAGUGGCGAACGGGUGAGUAACACGUGAGUAACCUGCCCUUGACUCUGGGAUAAGCGUUGGAAACGACGUCUAAUACCGGAUACGACCUUCGGAGGCAUCUCCUGGGGGUGGAAAGAAUUUCGGUCAAGGAUGGACUCGCGGCCUAUCAGCUUGUUGGUGAGGUAAUGGCUCACCAAGGCGACGACGGGUAGCCGGCCUGAGAGGGUGACCGGCCACACUGGGACUGAGACACGGCCCAGACUCCUACGGGAGGCAACAGUGGGGAAUAUUGCACAAUGGGCGCAAGCCUGAUGCAGCAACACCGCGUGAGGGACGACGGCCUUCGGGUUGUAAACCUCUUUUAGUAGGGAAGAAGCGAAAGUGACGGUACCUGCAGAAAAAGCACCGGCUAACUACGUG
rnacentral:rRNA from 1 species